UAACACCAGCCAGAUUGUUAUUAUUGAGAUAGCUUUGUUGCCGUUAACAAUCAUUUGUAAUUACCAAGAGGUUUUACAUAAUUCAUGCUAAAAUCUCACGUUUACCUGUCGCUGGGACCUUGUGGUUAGCUCAACUUAGUUAAGACUGAAUGCUUGAGGUAUUGCAAGGUUUCAAUUCUACUUGAAAUAAUGUAGCUGGUUAUAAUGAAAAAUCCUGUCAAAUGAAAUUAUUUCCUUUUUUUGUUUAGUGAUAACACCAAGGAACAUGCUGUCCACUGAAGAUUUUGGGAAAUAUAUAUUUAUCUCCAUGUUUCCUUUUUGAAAACAGAUGUGCAGGAAAGUGCCUAUUUCUUCACUGAAAAAUUGAAAAAUUUUAAUACUAAAAUUUUGACUAAGAUAUUCAAAACCAGGUCAACAUCUUCCCUGGAAAUCAAAAAAUAAGAGAUUCUGAUAUACAUAAAAACUCAGCUUCUACCUAGGAACAAAUUACGGCAGAAUUUUUGCCAGCAUGGAUAAUUCACUCUGUGCUCCUGUGCUCACCAUGAACUGGAAAUAAGUGAGCUUGUUUGCACAUCAUUGUAAAUUUUACUCCUCAGAUGGCUGCUUAACGGAAGGUGUGCCAUCUCCUGCAGGUUACUUAAUAUGAACACAACUUCCUCUGAAUAUCUUGAAAUUAAACUGUGUAAUGUGGGUAGUGGAUGUAAUAAAUAACACACUGCUUAUAAAUAUGCACCUCUUAGAAAAUGCAGAAUAAAUAACUGAUGCCAUAACCUUCCUUCAGAGGCAAAGGAUGUGAAAACCAUGAAAUAGGAUGAGCUUGACUGAGAGUCAUGCCAAUUAAUUUUCAAAAUAGGGUUCUCUGGACUCUGUUUAUCAUAAGCUUCUAGAGAUGCUCCAAGGUGUCUGCAUCUGAAUCUGCACAAGUUGAAACUAAAGCCAAACCAUGGUUUGGUUUGAAUUCAGGAUGAAAUCUCAGGUGCUUGGCAGGCUCUGGUGAAGCUGAACAAGUGGAAGGAUACCUGGGACCAGGUAAGUUCAUGAACAUCUGGUCAGGUACAGUCUGAUGGGGACAGUUCCUCUUGAAGGCUUCGUCCUGACCUGGAACUGAAAUUACUGUUUUAAAGUUUUGAAGUUAAAAUUGUGUGACUUUUUCUCUCAGGAAGCACAUCUGAAUUGUGCCAUCUGAGCUACAGAACUUGUUUGAUGCUAUAAAUGGAACUUAAGGAGGCUUUUGAAAGUUUUUAAACAACUGAAUCUUUAAACUUGAUUUUUCUUAAUUAAUAGUAGGAGGUUUCUUUGCUUUAGAUACUGAAUCUUCUAAACUGGUGUAAAAAUCUUACCUUAUAUGUGGAAAACUUAUCUUAGUUCUGUAAAUUACUGAAUAUUUCAUGUGUCCCUUUCAGAAAACAGAUGGAAAUAUGCACUUUGGGAAUGUUCCUCUCUAAUGUAGAUGAGUGACUUCAGGGCCGAAUUCUGUGUUGGAAAGAGCUCCUUCUGUUUUCUUGGCAUAACCUGCUGUGCACAGAUGUCACCUUCCUGCUUUUGACCAGACCACAGAAACCAGGAAAGCAAUUUCUUCCCCAUCCUUGCUGGCAUCCCCAGGAGGCAAGUUACUUAUGACUCUGAUGUGAGACAGAAAUGGAGCAGGAUUUUGCUUUGUGUUUGAGGAUGUCAAAGUUGAUCUGUGCCUGAAGAAUCAAGAAAACUUGCAUUUUGUAUGGGCAGUUGCCAUGCAGCUCCCUGCUCUGGUGAAGAAUACUAUAAAAACUUUGGUGCCUAAGUAAUUUAUGAUUAGUUGAAAACUGUUGUGUUUCAUUGCUCACACAUGUUCUACUCAAGAAGAAGCUGUAAAAUGGAUCUGGGGCCCAUCCUAAGCGAGAAUCUUUGUCUCUCUCUCUCUCAAAGAGUAAAGCUCUCUUUCAAAAAUGUAACGCUGUGUGUGACGCAGGAGUUGCCAUGGAAAAAUACAUUGAGCCAAUCAUUCAUGAUUUAUUUAUAGCAAUUAGAAUGCACAUCCCAAGAUCCAAUAGUAACUUUGAUUAAAAAAAAAAAAAAUAGAAAAAUCAUCCAGGCAAAGGAUAGAAGCAUGUAAAUUGUUGGGAAUGCUUUUGAGUCUGUAUGGUUAAUAUAUUAUUUAAAAAAUUGACUAUGUAUGUUCCUGGACAGGGCUUUGAAGUAUAAAUGCUGCUGAUAUUUGCUUCUAUAUUUUUGCUGCUGAUAAUGUUAUUGCUGUUGUCCUACACUUACCGUCUGUUCAGUGCCUAUUUAAUGGGUAUAGUAAAUAGCAGUUCAAAGUGAGAUUUUUCUUCUAAUCAUCUCUUUUGGAAAACAUUUGUGUAAAAGUGAAUGCUUUGGAGAAAUCUGUACACCAGUAUCUUGCUGGAAACAUGGUGCCCAAGAUCCUUAGAGCUGGAUACACUUGUCUGUGGUGUUUUAACUACUACAGGCAGUGAAUGCCUCCCUCCUGAUUGCUUCAAAUUGCAUUCAGUGAGAAACCUUUUAGUUAUCUCUUUUGAUGAACAUUAACUGUAUUUCAUUGUUGACUUUUUUGUAGGCAACUGCUAAAGUAUCAAAAAUUGUGAUCUCCUGCACAUGGGGGAAUCUCAGUAUUGAAACCUGUGGAUGCCCCAGACCUGGAAGUGUUCAAGGCCAGCUUGGAUGAGGUCCUGAGCUGCUUGGUCUAGUGGAAGGAGUCCCUGGACCAGGGGUGAUUUUUAUGGUCCCUUUCAACCAAACCAUUCUAUGGUAUUUGCUUUAUUUUGGGGCAAAUAUAAAAAUCAAACAGCCAAAA